AUGAAAAAGCACUAUGAUCGGAGAGCUGUUGCUCGCCAGUUCAAACCUGGUGAUCAGGUUCUAGUUUUGCUCCCCAUUCUGGGCUCUUCUCUGAGAACAAAGUUUUCUGGACCAUAUGUGGUGGAAAAGAAACUUAGUGAGACCAAUUAUGUUGUUCAAACACCUGAUCGUCGUCGUAAGACCAGAGUAUGCCACGUUAACAUGAUGAAACAUUAUCUUUCUAGAGAGAAUGAAGAUGGUCCCCUCACUCCGCACAAGGUUGCGUCUAGCUCUCCUGUAGCAUGCGUAACUUCAGAGAUAGCCAAUGAAAGCAGUGAGGAGGAUGUGGUCCUGGGCAAAGAUGUGUCACAGGGUACGAGACUCAGUAAAAGUGAGAUUUUGUCUGACUUGCCCCACUAUUUGUCUCACCUGUCACUUGAUCAGGCUGAAGACAUUCAGAACCUGAUUUUGUCUUUCCGGUGUAUGUUUGGGGAUAUUCCUACCCAGACGAGUUUGAUAUCCCAUGACAUUGUUCUUACCAAUCCUGCACCAAUUAAACAACGUGCAUAUAGAGUCAAUCCUAUCAAAAGAGAGGUUAUGCAAAAGGAAGUAGAAUAUCUAAUUAGGAAUGGACUUGCCAUACCCAGUUGUAGCCCCUGGAGUUCCCCAUGUUUGUUGGACAUUAAAGCUGAUGGCAGUCCACGGUUCUGUACGGACUUCCGCAAAGUGAAUGCUGUGACAGUUCCUGACGCAUACCCCUUGCCCCUCAUCGAUGAUUGCAUUGAUGACAUCGGACCUGCCACAUUUAUCACUAAACUGGAUAUGUUAAAAGGUUACUGGCAGAUUCCUUUAACCAAAAGGGCAUCAGAGAUAUCUGCUUUUGUAACUCCGGACAGUUUCCUCCAGUACACAGUCAUGCCAUUUGGGUUAUGUAAUGCACCAGCUACAUUUCAGAGGCUGGUGAACAAAGUACUGGGUGAUGUUCCAAACUGUCGGGUGUAUCUAGAUGACAUUGUUGUGUAUUCCAGUGAAUGGGCAGAGCAUCUUGCUACCUUGUCAGCUGUAUUUGAACGCCUCUCAGCUGCCUCGCUGACUUUGAAUCUUGCCAAGUGUGAGUUUGGUAAAAGCACCAUUCUCUAUCUAGGCCAGGGGUGGGCAAUUCCAGGCCCCGAGGGCCGGUGUCCCUGCAGGUUUUAG
rnacentral:lncRNA from 1 species